rnacentral:misc_RNA from 1 species
AACGCAUAUUGCGCCCAACACCUCGGUGAAGGGCAUGUCUGCCUCAGCGUCGGGUUAAUAUCACCCAAUCAAACCCUGUGUGGUUUAAUAGGGUGGACCUGGUAGUCUCAGCCCGCAAGGGCUGGGUCUGCUGAAGCACAGAGGUUGAUGUAUGGACCCGUCAAGGGCCGCAACUGGGUAGGCAUGUCAAUGCUUCUAGUUGUUGGCUUGGGACGUGCAAUCGACCCUCAAACAGGAACCUAACCUUAUUUCCUCGACCUGAGCUCAGGCAAGAACACCCGCUGAACUUAA